rnacentral:rRNA from 1 species
GGUAGCUUGCUACUUGCUGACGACCGGCGCACGGGUGCGUAACGCGUAUACAAUCUGCCUUAUACAGAGGGAUAGCCUUUAGAAAUGAAGAUUAAUACCUCAUGGUCUAUUAAUAUAGCAUUAUAUAAAUAGUAAAGCUUCGGCGGUAUAAGAUGAGUAUGCGUCCUAUUAGUUAGUUGGUAAGGUAACGGCUUACCAAGACAACGAUAGGCAGGGGCCCUGAGAGGGGGAUCCCCCACACUGGUACUGAGACACGGACCAGACUCCUACGGGAGGCAGCAGUGAGGAAUAUUGGACAAUGGAGGUAACUCUGAUCCAGCCAUGCCGCGUGCAGGAAGACGGCCCUAUGGGUUGUAAACUGCUUUUAUAUAGGAAGAAACCUUUUCACGUGUGAGAAGCUGACGGUACUAUAAGAAUAAGGACCGGCUAACUCCGUGCCAGCAGCCGCGGUAAUACGGAGGGUCCGAGCGUUAUCCGGAAUCAUUGGGUUUAAAGGGUCCGUA